rnacentral:rRNA from 1 species
GUCUACGUCCAUACAACCCUGAACGCGCCCGAUCUCAUCUGUUCUUGGAAACGAAGCAGGGUCCGACCUGGUUAGUACUUGCAUGGGAGACUGCCUGGGAAUACUGGGUGCUGUAGGUU